rnacentral:rRNA from 1 species
UACGAAGGGGGCGAGCGUUGUUCGGAAUUACUGGGCGUAAAGGGCGCGCAGGCGGCGCGAGAAGUCAGGCGUGAAAGCCCCGGGCUCAACCUGGGAAUUGCGCUUGAUACUCUUGUGCUGGAGUUCGGGAGAGGAGAGUGGAAUUCCCAGUGUAGAGGUGAAAUUCGUAGAUAUUGGGAAGAACACCGGUGGCGAAGGCGGCUCUCUGGGAAUUACCUGACGCUGAGGAGCGAAAGUGUGGGGAGCGAACAGG